GGGAAUGUAGCUCAGUUGGUAGAGUGCUUGCCUUGCAUGCACAAGGCCCUGGUUUCAAUCCCCAGCACCA
rnacentral:tRNA from 1 species